UGCGGCUAUGGCGAAACUGGCAGACGCGCAAGACUUAGGAUCUUGUCCCGAAAGGGGUGGGGGUUCAACUCCCUCUAGCCGCAU
rnacentral:tRNA from 1 species